GAUAGGAGAGUGAGAAAACUGUUUUGAGCAUAACUUUUGAUCCGUAAGUCGGAAUCAAGUGAAACGAAAGAGAGACAGAAGCUUAUAACGUCUAUUUUAAUAUGAUGUGAUUAUAUGGCUGAGUCUAUAGGGUGAAUAAUUGUUGAUAAGUAUGCAUAAUGUGAUAAAAUGUGAUCUAAGUGCUACCAAGUGAUGAUUAUGUGAAGUACGUGUUAGUUUUGAUAUUGUGAAGUGAUAAAUGAUUGUACGAUUGAUAUUGGAUAAGAAUAUAUGGAUUAUAGUGAUUGGAUGUGGUUGGUUGAUUGUUGAUUGAGAUAGGAUAACAGGUGGAUAGUCUAAUAAAUAGACGAGACGAUGUCAGAUUUUCGAUA
rnacentral:lncRNA from 1 species